rnacentral:rRNA from 1 species
UACAGAGGUCUCAAGCGUUGUUCGGAUUCAUUGGGCGUAAAGGGUGCGUAGGCGGCGCGGUAAGUCGGGUGUGAAAUCCCGGGGCUCAACCCCGGAACUGCACUCGAUACUGCCGUGCUCGAGUACUGGAGAGGAGACUGGAAUUUACGGUGUAGCAGUGAAAUGCGUAGAUAUCGUAAGGAAGACCGGUGGCGAAGGCUAGUCUCUGGACAGUUACUGACACUGAGGCACGAAGGCCAGGGGAGCAAACGGG